GAGUUUGAUCCUGGCUCAGGAUGAACGCUGGCGGCGUGCCUAAUACAUGCAAGUCGAACGCUUUGUGGUUCAACUGAUUUGAAGAGCUUGCUCAGAUAUGACGAUGGACAUUGCAAAGAGUGGCGAACGGGUGAGUAACACGUGGGAAACCUACCUCUUAGCAGGGGAUAACAUUUGGAAACAGAUGCUAAUACCGUAUAACAAUGACAACCGCAUGGUUGUUAUUUAAAAGAUGGUUCUGCUAUCACUAAGAGAUGGUCCCGCGGUGCAUUAGCUAGUUGGUAAGGUAAUGGCUUACCAAGGCAAUGAUGCAUAGCCGAGUUGAGAGACUGAUCGGCCACAAUGGGACUGAGACACGGCCCAUACUCCUACGGGAGGCAGCAGUAGGGAAUCUUCCACAAUGGGCGAAAGCCUGAUGGAGCAACGCCGCGUGUGUGAUGAAGGGUUUCGGCUCGUAAAACACUGUUGUAAGAGAAGAAUGACAUUGAGAGUAACUGUUCAAUGUGUGACGGUAUCUUACCAGAAAGGAACGGCUAAAUACGUGCCAGCAGCCGCGGUAAUA
rnacentral:rRNA from 1 species